rnacentral:misc_RNA from 1 species
CAAAUUUGAAGAGAAAAAAAUAAAAAAAAAUCUCUAAGUUUUUUUUUUCUUCUUUUCGAUACAAGACGAUAUGGUUUUUCCUAUUAAUCAGGAAUUACUUGUCGAUGAGUCGUCUUCUCAGUUGAGAAAAACAAGUGGAGGAACUGGUGGAGGAGGUAGAGGGAAGAUUGAAAUUAAAAGGAUCGAAAAUACGACAAAUCGACAAGUUACGUUCUGCAAGCGUAGAAAUGGGCUAUUGAAAAAAGCUUAUGAACUUUCUGUUCUUUGUGAUGCUGAAGUUUCACUAAUUGUAUUUUCCAGCCGCGGCCGUCUCUAUGAAUAUGCCAAUAACAGUGUUAGGGCAACUAUUGAUAGGUACAAGAAACACCAUGCUGAUUCCACUAGUACUGGAUCUGUUUCUGAAGCUAACACUCAGUACUACCAGCAAGAAGCAUCCAAACUGCGACGACAAAUUCGAGAUAUACAGACUUAUAACAGGCAAAUAGUUGGAGAGGCAUUGGGCAGUUUAAGCCCUAGAGACCUCAAGAAUUUGGAAGGGAAACUUGAAAAGGCCAUUGGUAGAGUCCGUUCCAAAAAGAAUGAAUUGCUUUUCUCAGAAAUAGAGCUCAUGCAAAAGAGGGAGAUUGAGCUGCAGAACGCCAACAUGUAUCUACGCGCAAAGAUAGCAGAGGUAGAGAGAGCACAAGAGCAAAUGAACUUGAUGCCUGGAGGCGGAGGCGGAGGCGGAGGCACGCAAUGGCAACGGUGAAUAUCAAGGGAGAAGAAAGAAAUAAAGACAGAGGAGGGCUGGCAUGGGUGUGGCUGCCGCAGGGAGUGAAGUAGAGAAAAA